rnacentral:rRNA from 1 species
AACACAUGCAAGUCGAACGAUGAAGCCCUUCGGGGUGGAUUAGUGGCGAACGGGUGAGUAACACGUGGGCAAUCUGCCCUGCACUCUGGGACAAGCCCUGGAAACGGGGUCUAAUACCGGAUAUGACCAUCUUGGGCAUCCUUGAUGGUGUAAAGCUCCGGCGGUGCAGGAUGAGCCCGCGGCCUAUCAGCUUGUUGGUGAGGUAAUGGCUCACCAAGGCGACGACGGGUAGCCGGCCUGAGAGGGCGACCGGCCACACUGGGACUGAGACACGGCCCAGACUCCUACGGGAGGCAGCAGUGGGGAAUAUUGCACAAUGGGCGAAAGCCUGAUGCAGCGACGCCGCGUGAGGGAUGACGGCCUUCGGGUUGUAAACCUCUUUCAGCAGGGAAGAAGCGAAAGUGACGGUACCUGCAGAAGAAGCGCCGGCUAACUACGUGCCAGCAGCCGCGGUAAUACGUAGGGCGCAAGCGUUGUCCGGAAUUAUUGGGCGUAAAGAGCUCGUAGGCGGCUUGUCACGUCGAUUGUGAAAGCUCGGGGCUUAACCCCGAGUCUGCAGUCGAUACGGGCUAGCUAGAGUGUGGUAGGGGAGAUCGGAAUUCCUGGUGUAGCGGUGAAAUGCGCAGAUAUCAGGAGGAACACCGGUGGCGAAGGCGGAUCUCUGGGCCAUUACUGACGCUGAGGAG